UGCCCAGCAAUUCCUAUCUCUACCUCCUCGUGGUACUGGCCAGGGUACGUGUAACAUUAGGAAAGAUCGGAUAACUUUGGUCAGGUGGGAACUUUGGUCGAAUGCUGACAGGAAAGU
rnacentral:ribozyme from 1 species